rnacentral:rRNA from 1 species
AGAGUUUGAUCCUGGCUCGGAUUGAACGCUGGCGGCAGGCCUAACACAUGCAAGUCGAGCGGUAGAGAGAAGCUUGCUUCUCUUGAGAGCGGCGGACGGGUGAGUAAUGCCUAGGAAUCUGCCUGGUAGUGGGGGAUAACGUUCGGAAACGGACGCUAAUACCGCAUACGUCCUACGGGAGAAAGCAGGGGACCUUCGGGCCUUGCGCUAUCAGAUGAGCCUAGGUCGGAUUAGCUAGUUGGUGAGGUAAUGGCUCACCAAGGCGACGAUCCGUAACUAGUCUGAGAGGAUGAUCAGUCACACUGGAACUGAGACACGGUCCAGACUCCUACGGGAGGCAGCAGUGGGGAAUAUUGGACAAUGGGCGAAAGCCUGAUCCAGCCAUGCCGCGUGUGUGAAGAAGGUCUUCGGAUUGUAAAGCACUUUAAGUUGGGAGGAAGAGCAGUUACCUAAUACGUGAUUGUUUUGACGUUACCUACAGAAUAAGCACCGGCUAACUCUGUGCCAGCAGCCGCGGUAAUACAGAGGGUGCAAGCGUUAAUCGGAAUUACUGGGCGUAAAGCGCGCGUAGGUGGUUAGUUAAGUUGGAUGUGAAAUCCCCGGGCUCAACCUGGGAACUGCAUUCAAAACUGACUGACUAGAGUAUGGUAGAGGGUGGUGGAAUUUCCUGUGUAGCGGUGAAAUGCGUAGAUAUAGGAAGGAACACCAGUGGCGAAGGCGACCACCUGGGACUGAUACUGACACUGAGGUGCGAAAGCGUGGGGAGCAAACAGGAUUAGA